rnacentral:rRNA from 1 species
UAGUCCACACCGUAAACGAUGAAUGCUAGUUGUCAGGGGGUUUUCCCUUUGGUGACGCACCUAACGGAUUAAGCAUUCCGCCUGGGGAGUACGGUCGCAAGAUUAAAACUCAAAAGGAAUUGACGGGGGCCCGCACAAGCGGUGGAGCAUGUGGUUUAAUUCGACGCAACGCGCAGAACCUUACCACUCCUUGACAUAGAUGUCGCGGAGUUUAGAGAUAGACUCCUUCAGUUCGGCUGGACAUCAUACAGGUGCUGCAUGGCUGUCGUCAGCUCGUGUCGUGAGAUGUUGGGUUAAGUCCCGCAACGAGCGCAACCCUCGCUAAUAGUUGCCAUCAUUUAGUUGGGCACUCUAUUAGAACUGCCGGUGAUAAACCGGAGGAAGGUGGGGAUGACGUCAAGUCCUCAUGGCCCUUACGGAGUGGGCUACACACGUGCUACAAUGGCAGUGACAAUGGGAUAAUCCAUAAAAACUGUACUCAGUUCGGAUUGGGGUCUGCAACUCGACCCC